ensembl:lncRNA novel transcript
CCCUCCCGCGGCGGCGGGCGCUCGGCAGGUCUGAACCCGCGUGGGUGUAGGCGCUGGGGGUCGACCUGGCACUGCGGAGGCCGGGCGAGCUGCAGCCCUGGGGGCGCCAAUAGCCCAGCAAGGGCCCAUCCCGUCCAAGGACGGAGGAGCUGGGCGGGAGGCGGGCCCGGAGGCCCGCGCGUUCCAGGUCCUGCUCGCGGCUCUGCAGCUCCAGCUCCAGACGGCUUCUCCGCUCCCCGCGGGCGAAGUUCUGGGACGCACGGAGGACCACUGAGCCUCCGCCGGCCGCUCGGCCAUGCAAAAGAGGUGCGCACCCUCAUUGAGCCGGGCGGGCAGGUGCUCCAGGAUGUGAUCUUCUCCGGGCAGCUGCGAGUAAUCCUCCGCUUGGGCGCUCUCCACUGCCUGGUCCUUGUCCUCUGGGCCGUGGGGGCGGGCGGGGGGCAACGCCAGCAAGGGGUUGGGCCGGUUCAGGAGGCCUGGGGUUGGGGAGAGAAGGGAUUCUCAGUUCAUCAGCGCGGCCGCGGCCCGCAGGGGGU